rnacentral:rRNA from 1 species
GACGUAGGGCGCGAGCGUUGUCCGGAUUUAUUGGGCGUAAAGAGCUCGUAGGCGGUUCGUCGCGUCGGCUGUGAAAACCUGAGGCUCAACCUCAGGCCUGCAGUCGAUACGGGCGGACUUGAGUACUGCAGGGGAGACUGGAAUUCCUGGUGUAGCGGUGAAAUGCGCAGAUAUCAGGAGGAACACCGGUGGCGAAGGCGGGUCUCUGGGCAGUAACUGACGCUGAGGAGCGAAAGCGUGGGGAGCGAACAGG